rnacentral:ncRNA from 1 species
ACUGCUCGUCAGUACUACCGAUUGAAUGGUUAUGUUAGGCCCUCGGAUUGGAGCCAUUGCAGUGCCAGCCGCAAGGUUUGUGCUCAACAGGUGCCGAGAAGAUGACCAAUCUUGAUCAUUUAGAGGAAUUUAAAGUCGUAUCAAGGUUUCCGUAGGUGAACCUACGGAAG